UCUGCUUCAAACAAAUUAGAUCCACGGCCACAGACCACUACUUCCACACAAACGCAACCAGACCACGGCUUCCAUCGCCACACCACCGCAGCCUCCACCGUUACCGCAUCCGCCUUCCACCGUCGCAGCCACCACCGCCGUCACAAACAGAUCUGCCGCCCGCACUAGCCACGACCACCAUUGCAGCCUUCGUCCACUACCUCCGCCUCAGUCACGGCGACCGCACCUCUGCCUCCAUCGCCUUCGCCGUCGUCUGCCUCCGCCACCAGCGAGCCUCCGUUGUAAGCACCACCACCGUAGCCACCAUCCAUUUUCGCCUCCCCCGCAGCCAGCCACCAGAUCUGCGCAGCGCAACCACCACCACCACCACCGUCCGCCAUUUCCCCCUCCACAACAGCCACCACCGUCCGCCAUUUCCGCCUCCAUUGCGCAGGUACAAAAUGUUGACGACAUAGUUAAAGAUUUGCUAAUGCAAAUCCAGAAUGGUGAGGCAGUAGAUCCAAAAGAUAUUGAUGGUCUUAAGCGAAGAAAUUUGAUUGCCCAACAGUAAUUAUCUAGGAGUUGGAAAGGCUACUCAGUAAGGAAGGGUCCUAAGUAUGCUCCCAAAAGGAUAAAAGAAGCUACUAACCUCACUCGGGAGAACUUGCAUAGCUCUGCGAAAUGUUAUAUGCAGUUGUACCCAAAGCUUUUGUUCGAAUUGUACAGAGGGAGCUCAUCGGCCUGUAGACUGUGAGACUAUUGCCAAGUGGAUUUCGAAAAACAGUGUUGAAUUGAAAACAUGAAUUGCAUCGUUGAGGACAAAGUUAUAUUCCCUGCUGUAGACACAGAGUUGUCUUUUGCCCUGGAGCAUGCAGAAGAAGAAAAUGAGUUUGGUAAGCUCAGAUGCCUCAUAGAAAACAUUCAGAAUGCUGGAGCUAACUCACCUUCUACUGAAUUUUAUUCAAAGUUAUGCUCUCAUGCUGAUCAUAUAAUGGAGAUAAUAGAGAAGCACUUCCACAAUGAGGAAGUUCAGGUUCUUCCGCUUGCACGAAAACAUUUUAGCCCAAAAAGGCAGCGGGAACUGCUUUUUCAGAGCUUGUGUGUGAUGCCACUUAGACUGAUUGAAUGCGUCUUACCGUGGUUAGUAGGAUCACUAAAUGAGGAGGAUGCAAUGCCUUUUCUGCACAAUAUGCAUAUGGCAGCUCCGGCAUCAGACACUGCGUUGGUAACACUUUUCACUGGUUGGGCAUGCAAAGGCCGUACAGGAGAUACUUGCUUGUCUUCUAAUGCAACAGGUUGCUGUCCUGAUGAAGAACUGUCAUGAAAUCAAGAUUGUAUAGGCCGAUGUUUUUGUGCCAGAAGUGAAUCUUUCUCAUAUGCCCAAGAAGAUUGCCAGGAAAGAUGUUCAAGUUCCACUUUAGGAGAGAGAUGUGAUCCUUCUGGAACAUGAAUUGGCUAUGCCUUGGUGCAUGAUCAGACCAUGGCAAAAAGACAGGUGGUUUUUAUGCAUGCAAUCGCUAUGAAGCAGCAAAACACGGGGGAGUGGUAUGUCCAAAAUUAUGUUUGGUCACUUUUGGAUGUCUCAUAUGUUUGUUUUCUGGGUCGUUUAAUGCAUUGAUAUUGAGUUAGUUGAUGAUGCUUAAUUUAGUUACCAACUUUUGCUUUGCCUAUUAUUGAUUAUAGUAUGAUGAAUCUGAAAGGAGGAGAGAGAUGGCCAAAAAUUCCUUGGACUAGAGUACUAGACUAGUAUUUGGUUGUAAUUUCAUUCUCUCUUCUGUAGCUUUCAAUUAUUUAUAAUUUGGAAUUGUAAACCUUUAAUUUCAUUGAUUCUUUUUUAAGCUUUGAAGUAUUGUAGUUUCAAUUGAUCA